rnacentral:rRNA from 1 species
GUAGUCUCGCACAGAUGCAUAUCAAUAAGCGGAGGAAAAGAAACUAACAAGGAUUCCCCUAGUAACGGCGAGUGAAGCGGGAAGAGCUCAGAUUUGAAAUCUUAAAGGGUUUCCCUUUACGAAUUGUAGUUUAAAGAAGUGUUUUCUGUUGAGGUUUUGGUAAAAGUUCUUUGGAAUAGGACAUCAUAGAGGGUGAGAAUCCCGUAUUUGACCUUUACUUUCAACUUUGUGAUACACUUUCAAAGAGUCGGAUUGUUUGGGAAUGCAGUCCAAAAUGGGUGGUAAAUUUCAUCUAAAGCUAAAUAUUGGCGAGAGACCGAUAGCGAACAAGUACCGUGAGGGAAAGAUGAAAAGAACUUUGAAAAGAGAGUUAAACAGUACGUGAAAUUGUCAAAAGGGAAGCGUUUGACACCAGUGUUGUUUUUCUGAAAAUCACUUAAAGAACUGUUUAUGCUAAGCUGUUUAGACUUUAUCAGCUAACUGUUUAGUUUUGAGCUUUUCUUUAAUGCACUUUUCAGUUAACAAGUCAACAUCAAUUUCUUUUGCUGUAAAAAAGCUUGAGGAAGGUGGCUUGAGAUUCGUCUUAAGUGUUUAUAGCCUCUUGCCUAUGCAGUCGGAGAGAUUGAGGUCUGCAGCGUAGAUCCUUCGGGGCUAAAUGCAUUUGUGCUAAGUUAUAGCAUUUUAUAGACAACUUGUUGACUAUGAUUUGUCUUGUAGCUUACUCGCUUAUGUUAUUUUACCUACGCUUAGGAUGUUGAACUACUGAGACAUAGA